GUCAGCAGCUAUAUCACACGGCAACCCACUGAAGCUCAGCAGGUGUGAGCCUGGUCAGUACCUGGAUGGGAGACCUCCUGGGAAAGCUAAGGUUGCUGCUGGAA
rnacentral:rRNA from 1 species